GUUGGUGAACCAGCGGAGGGAUCAUUAAUAGAGUUGAAAGACUCCCUAAAACCACUGUGAACUCAUCCUUUAGUGUUGCUUCGGCGGGCAGCUCCUCCCUGGAGCCGCAGCCCAAUCCCCCUUCCGCGGGGGGGUGCGGGCGCUCGCCGGAGGUACCAAACCCUUCUGUAAUUAAUACUGUCUCUCUGAAUAUACAAGCAAUAAAUCAAAACUUUCAACAACGGAUCUCUUGGCUCUGGCAUCGAUGAAG
rnacentral:misc_RNA from 1 species